rnacentral:rRNA from 1 species
AUCUAGCCAUGGGCAGGUUGAAGGUUGGGUAACACUAACUGGAGGACCGAACCGACUAAUGUUGAAAAAUUAGCGGAUGACCUGUGGCUGGGGGUGAAAGGCCAAUCAAACCGGGAGAUAGCUGGUUCUCCCCGAAAGCUAUUUAGGUAGCGCCUCGUGAAUUCAUCUCCGGGGGUAGAGCACUGUUUCGGCUAGGGGGCCAUCCCGGCUUACCAACCCGAUGCAAACUGCGAAUACCGGAGAAUGUUAUCACGGGAGACACACGGCGGGUGCUAACGUCCGUCGUGAAGAGGGAAACAACCCAGACCGCCAGCUAAGGUCCCAAAGUCAUGGUUAAGUGGGAAACGAUGUGGGAAGGCCCAGACAGCCAGGAUGUUGGCUUAGAAGCAGCCAUCAUUUAAAGAAAGCGUAAUAGCUCACUGGUCGAGUCGGCCUGCGCGGAAGAUGUAACGGGGCUAAACCAUGCACCGAAGCUGCGGCAGCGAACGUAUCACUUAAAGCGAUUCAGCGGGUUACGAUUGACGGAGCGAAGCGACGUCAAAGCGUAUACAAAGUCGAGUCGGUUUAAGGAUACGUUCGUUGGGUAGGGGAGCGUUCUGUAAGCCUGUGAAGGUGUGUCGUGAGGCAUGCUGGAGGUAUCAGAAGUGCGAAUGCUGACAUAAGUAACGAUAAAGCGGGUGAAAAGCCCGCUCGCCGGAAGACCAAGGGUUCCUGUCCAACGUUAAUCGGGGCAGGGUGAGUCGACCCCUAAGGCGAGGCCGAAAGGCGUAGUCGAUGGGAAACGGGUUAAUAUUCCCGUACUUGGUGUUACUGCGAAGGGGGGACGGAGAAGGCUAUGUUGGCCGGGCGACGGUUGUCCCGGUUUAAGCGUGUAGGUGUGUGUUCCAGGUAAAUCCGGUUCACUUUAACACUGAGGCGUGACGACGAGGCACUACGGUGCUGAAGCAACAAAUGCCCUGCUUCCAGGAAAAGCCUCUAAGCAUCAGGUAACAUCAAAUCGUACCCCAAACCGACACAGGUGGUCAGGUAGAGAAUACCAAGGCGCUUGAGAGAACUCGGGUGAAGGAACUAGGCAAAAUGGUGCCGUAACUUCGGGAGAAGGCACGCUGACACGUAGGUGAAGUGAUUUACUCAUGGAGCUGAAGUCAGUCGAAGAUACCAGCUGGCUGCAACUGUUUAUUAAAAACACAGCACUGUGCAAACACGAAAGUGGACGUAUACGGUGUGACGCCUGCCCGGUGCCGGAAGGUUAAUUGAUGGGGUCAGCGCAAGCGAAGCUCCUGAUCGAAGCCCCGGUAAACGGCGGCCGUAACUAUAACGGUCCUAAGGUAGCGAAAUUCCUUGUCGGGUAAGUUCCGACCUGCACGAAUGGCGUAAUGAUGGCCAGGCUGUCUCCACCCGAGACUCAGUGAAAUUGAACUCGCUGUGAAGAUGCAGUGUACCCGCGGCAAGACGGAAAGACCCCGUGAACCUUUACUAUAGCUUGACACUGAACAUUGAGCCUUGAUGUGUAGGAUAGGUGGGAGGCUUUGAAGUGUGGACGCCAGUCUGCAUGGAGCCGACCUUGAAAUACCACCCUUUAAUGUUUGAUGUUCUAACGUGGACCCGUGAUCCGGGUUGCGGACAGUGUCUGGUGGGUAGUUUGACUGGGGCGGUCUCCUCCUAAAGAGUAACGGAGGAGCACGAAGGUUGGCUAAUCCUGGUCGGACAUCAGGAGGUUAGUGCAAUGGCAUAAGCCAGCUUGACUGCGAGCGUGACGGCGCGAGCAGGUGCGAAAGCAGGUCAUAGUGAUCCGGUGGUUCUGAAUGGAAGGGCCAUCGCUCAACGGAUAAAAGGUACUCCGGGGAUAACAGGCUGAUACCGCCCAAGAGUUCAUAUCGACGGCGGUGUUUGGCACCUCGAUGUCGGCUCAUCACAUCCUGGGGCUGAAGUAGGUCCCAAGGGUAUGGCUGUUCGCCAUUUAAAGUGGUACGCGAGCUGGGUUUAGAACGUCGUGAGACAGUUCGGUCCCUAUCUGCCGUGGGCGCUGGAGAACUGAGGGGGGCUGCUCCUAGUACGAGAGGACCGGAGUGGACGCAUCACUGGUGUUCGGGUUGUCAUGCCAAUGGCACUGCCCGGUAGCUAAAUGCGGAAGAGAUAAGUGCUGAAAGCAUCUAAGCACGAAACUUGCCCCGAG